CACCCAUGCCCGUCAUCUCGCCCACCUCCCGGAGGCCGGAGCCCCCGUCCCUGCGGCCGCGCCGUCCCCUCCAUCUCCCCUGUGCGCAACCAAACUGGUGCCGCACGCAGCUGCCGCACGUCCUUCCGGCCCGGCUUCUCCACCCCCCUCCAGCCAGCUACUCCAACCAAGGCGCGGCAGCCGGAUCCAAUCUAUAUGGCGUGAUGGCGACCAAAUCCAUGACGGGAAAGAGACCCAGUGGUUCCCGCCGUCUCAAGCAGCCGCCGGCCAUCCGCAACAGCCCCAGGAUUGACGGCGUCUUCCAGGCUGCCGCACAGUCCUGCUCCGGCGGCCUCGAGCUGCAGCUCUGGCACAUGGUACAGGACGCGUCGCUGCUAUUCCCGUGCGGAUCCACUGAGUUGACGAUGUUGAAUCAGCUGUGGCUUCCGGACCAAUCAUGGAGUUAUGGAGGACGCCCCCUUCCAUUGUGGAGAUGGUUUCAGUUACGCUACAAGGGAUUUCAUUUCUUGCUGAAAAAUUCUGUCAGUCCUUCCUGAUUUGCACGUGUUAAUGUAACUGCUGAACAUCAGUUCUCUCUCAUCAUCCAUUGUGCAGGUAUAAGGACAUACAUAGGACAUGGCAGUUGUCUAAUGAGUAGUGUGUGAUCUUCAGAGAAAAACAAGUGAAUAUGGCUGUAAGUCACGCCUCUUCAAGGGCGGAUUGUAUUACCAAUAGAUAAGAUAUACAAGCCUUGAGAAUCAAGGAAAAUCAGGACAUUCCCAACCGAAUUUAUACACAAGUGAUUCGAUGGGAUAUCUGGUCACUUUCCUAUACAAAGUCUAUGAACAAAAGGAAUACUUUAACAUUCAGGGAGUCCUACUAGGAUGGAAGACGCUGCAAUAAUGUUUGAGUAAUGGAUGUUGGUUGCCUUUUUGAGAAACCACACAAGCUCUCAGGAGCAGAUCAUUGUCCCCAUGCCAAACCAUGUGCUGCUACAAGCCUACAAGCCGUGGGCCUUUUAUGAGUGUCAACACAACAUCAUCUAAGCAUGGAUCAAAAUGGAUACUCCAAGGCUACAAUGACAAUUGCAAUCCCGGACGUACAUCUCCGAUGACAAUCUUGUCCCAACAUAAGCAUCGACUGAAGAGAAGGUAGCUCAGGCCACACUAUCCUAACUUUGUGAUCAUCACUGCAUAUACCACAACCACAAGGCGCUCAACACAAUAACCCGCAGCUGCUCCACAGCUCGAGAAUUGGCAAGGAUGUAAGAAUGGUAACUCAAUAUGUCUCGGUUGGAAACUUCAAGUCUUAAGUUUGUUAACGAGAGCAAUAUAAUGCAAAAUUCUGAGGAGUCUGACAUGUAAGCGAAACAGGUGUAUGUCUAUCCGUCCGCUGGAAACCAUAUUUAAGUGUUGUAGAAGCUCUAAAUAAUUAGUUUUUUCUUGCUUUCAAGGGUCAUUUUAUUUCAGGAUUCACUGAAGUAAUCAAGUAAUGUGGAGUAGUUGCUCAUUCAAAUUUUAUAUUUUCUUAAUCAUUACCCAUCCUUAUUAGUGCUGUACUACCUCUGUACAUAAAUGUAAGACUAACAUCCUACUUUUCUUUACAGAGGGAGUACCUUUUUUGGAGUAUCAAUUUCUGUCAUUCUGAUGUAUUGUCAUUCUUGCCUCACUUUCUUUGGUUACUGUUUUUUCUGAUAAUCACUGUUUGAAUUAUAUUUUUUAAGUUAUAUCGUGGACCUUUUCUUAUGUCCAAUUAGUUCUGAUUUGGCAAAAACCAAAUUGCCAAGUGUUGACAAUUGGCACGCUGUAAUGUUGUUUACAGUGAUUGUUGAACGUUAACUCGAGGUGUCCUGCGUGGUUUGGACUUUGUGAUGCUAAUUAUCCCUCAUAUUAGUUGAUAUGCUUUUAAAGUUGAAACCAUAAAAACUGUAGUGCACAUUGAUUUUCUUCGUGAUACUUCACAUCCCUUUGUUUUGAUGGUAGUACAUUGUAGCCUGUAGAAGUACGAGCUUUAUUUUUGCAUGAUUCAUGUUUUUAUAGUUCCAUACAUGGUUAUCUAAUAAGCUAGCCAAAGUUACGUGAUGGUGUUAUCCAAUUUAUAUAUCUUCACAAAUGCUACUUAGCUAAAAUUUCCUUAUUGUUCAAGAAUAACAGGUGUUCAAGCAAUAUGACAACGAAUCCGAUUUGUACUAUCUGUGGGAGAUAGCCUGGUUAUUGAUACAAUGCAACUUUACUGUGAACUGAAAUGUUCCUUGAAAGUUGGUUGACACUUCUUCGAUAUUGAUACAAUGCAACUCUGCUGUAUGGAAAUUGCAUAUUAAUUAGGUCUUUUUACUAUACUGCAUAUAUACAGUUAGUGACACUUCCUUGAAACUGAAGGAAAUAUUCUUUAUAUUGUAGCUCAUGUUGAUUUUUGUAUGUAACAGUACUUGGACUGUAUGGCCUUUCUCUGA